rnacentral:tRNA from 1 species
GGAGAGAUGGCCGAGUAUGGUUUAAGGCGCAGUUUUGGAAAAACUGUUUACUUGAAAGAGUAACUAGGGUUCAAAUCCCUAUCUCUCCG